UGAGUAACCUGCCCUUAACUCUGGGAUAAGCCUGGGAAACUGGGUCUAAUACCGAAUAUGACUUCGGAUCGCAUGAUCUGAAGUGGAAAGCUCCGGCGGUGAAGGAUGAGCUCGCGGCCUAUCAGCUUGUUGGGGAGGUAAUAGCUCACCAAGGCGAUGACGGGUAGCCGGCCUGAGAGGGUGACCGGCCACACUGGGACUGAGACACGGCCCAGACUCCUACGGGAGCAG
rnacentral:rRNA from 1 species